rnacentral:rRNA from 1 species
AUGGAACAAGGGGUACCAGAAGGUGGAGAACCGAAGAAUGUUGCUGCUGUUGUUGCUGACAUUCUCACUAAAGAAUGUCCCUCAAACACAUUCCUUCAAAAUGUUGGCCUUGAUUCGAGCUCCAAGAAGUUCAACAGGUCUGCAUCUGCUUUGGAUGCUCAUGUACAAGAACUAGAGUACAAGCUUGAGAGGGAGAGGCAAGCCGCUGAGUUGAUGCGAGAGGAGCUUGUUGAGGUCAAGAAGAAAUCAGAGGAGACCGAAGCUGCACGCGCCGCAGAGUAUCAAUUGUUACUGCAAAGAGUUGAGGCCACCGAUGCGAGGGUUGUAGCAAGUGAUGCUAGAUUUGCGCGUCUCAUGGAUCUAUUCGAAGGGAUUGGCUGUGGUUUAAUGAGGUUCUGUUUUGGUUGGUGCAUCUUAUGA